AAAUACAAGUACCACAGUGUAAAAAAUCAUAUAACCAUAGACUCCCCGCUACCCAGCCUUCUGAGAAGAAUGAACUGUACGCCCUGGGCUCGAGGGCAGGAGUAGGCUGUUGGCGCGUUCCUCCACCAGCAUCUGCACAGCACUGGGCAGGCAGUAGGUAUUUCGUACGUAUGCCACAUCGCGGAGCUGAACUGAGGUCUACUUGGUCAAGAAAUCCAAAUUUAUAUGAUUAUGAAGUUUCACAUAGUUGUGAUGCAAUCCCAACAUCACAACGACCUGACAUCAAAACCCUACUGGUGCGACCUGCUCUUCUUGACCAUUCAGCAGGUGUUGGGGGGGGGGUCUCUCGGUGCCCAUAAGUAUAAUUACCAAUACCAUUUUUUCACUGUCAUGGUACAUACAGAGAAGUACCUGUCAAUAUAGAGCUCAGCCCAACUGGUUUAAGUGACCACAUUGGUAUAGAUCACUAAACAAACGAAACGGAUUCUUGAAUAUUGAUUUGCUAAAUUUAUGCCCUGUUCGAACUAUAGAGUAAGUAUCAUCUCAGUCAAAACCUCGACUGGCUUUUUUGUAGAAAUUGACAAGCCAAUUUUCAUAUUCAUAUGGAAAUGCAGGGGACCGAGGAAAAUCAGAAUGAGCUUGGAAGAGAACCACACUGAAAGACAUCCCUCAGGGGCUUCAGAGAUGGGGAGAGGCACAUUCCCACCUGGUGUGCUCCGGGGGCAGGAAGAGGGUCGAUGGGGGUCCCCAGAUGUGCCUCCCGCACACACGUCGUGGAAGCUGUCGCAGAGGAGCUGCGGGUAUUUACCUGCUUGGUCAAGGCAGUGCUCCCAGAAAGGCAGCCGUCAGAAGGUGACCAGAGGGCGGACAGGCCCUACACAAGUUGCCAUACAUUCCUGUGUUCUCCAUCAUGUUUAUCUGAGUUUGAGAAGAGCACUAGGGAUGGCCUGGUUGGGGGCAGGUGUGAAGGCACACGGCCCUUGCAGUGACUGGUGUCCCAUGGCUGGCCACCCAUACACCAGUUGGCCUUGGCACCAAGGUCCAGCUGUGUCUCCUCCUCCACGCCACCUUUCUGAAUCUCUGUGCUGACAUUGGUGUCCCCCAAAGGUGCGCAUGGAAAACAUGCAAAAUGCAGACUGUAGGACAGACGUGAAUUAAACAGCACAGCUGAAGCUGGCUUCUGAACAGAGGGACCUCGUCGCCCCAGCUCAGCCAUGUCUGGAGCUCCCUGCGGCCUCUCAGCAUCCUGGGCAUGGCUGGUCCUCCUGACUCCCGUGCUACUUGACCGCCCACAUGUGUGUUCACUGCCACAUCCACUCAGCAAGCAUUUCCUGUACCCGGCCUCAUUCCUGUGCUGGAAGCCAAGGGCGCACCAAGAGCAAAGGGGCCACAGGCUGCCUGUCAGGCCAAGGAGGGGAGGAGGCCUGAUGCCAGCCAUCAGCACGCCCCACCUGGGGCAGCAGCUUCUCUCACAGAGAGUCAGUCCCUUCCCCGACACCCUCCUCCCACCACACACACGCCCAGCCCCCCACAUGCAAGACCCCCGCUUCCAUCAGCCACCCUGACACCUGCCAAGCAGUGAGAAUUGCUCCUUCCCCAGAGCCGCCUCAUUCCCAGCUCGCGGUGGGACAGUCCUUGUGCGCGUAUGUUCUCCUGCUGGGGCUCAGCCUCCGUGCAGCUCCCGAUAGUUCUCAGCACCUGCCUGAUGCAGUUAGUUUGGGAAAGUGAUGUCAUGAAUACUGAUUCCAAUGGGUUGCCAUUCGUUGACCCAUGCAGAAACCUUCCUGAGUUUAUGAGGGUCAGGAUGAAACCCCUCCUCAUCCUGGAGGUCUGUGAGCUAUGGGUGGGGCAUGGAAAAGAAAGCAGGCCGUCGGGACAGGUGCAUGAAAGAGAGGUGAUGCCCUGGACAGCAUUCCGAUGGCCCACAUCAAAGCUGUACUGGGCACAUGGCCUGGGCCCUUAGCCGCAUAUCCAAGCACCUAGCUAAGAGAAAAAACCCAAAAGCUUUAAAAACCCUUUAAAGCCUGGUUCAAUUCAAUAAUACCUGUGGAGAGCUACACCCAUUGGAGACAGACACUGCUUCAUUUGGGAAAUAAAAAUACAAGAAAACAGAGAUCCCGCCUCUAA
rnacentral:lncRNA from 1 species